rnacentral:lncRNA from 1 species
GUGUUGGCAUUGAUGUGCUAUGCUGGGGCAUCGAUAUGAUGUUCAGUGAUGCAUAGUUCUUUCUGUUCUCAGGGCUGCAUUUGACUGUUUAUAGAACAGCAAGAAAUAGACUAAUCUUCACCUGCUGACAAAGUGAAUGUGGGUUCAACUGCCUUUAGAGAACCAGGAGAGCCCGGGAGCUGCUGACGCAGAUGGAUAAGCCCAGAGACUCACUGAAAGUCAGGUUAGACUCAGCCGGCGGAGAUGGGCAGACGCCACGGUCUAGCGUGAGCCUUGCCCAGACUGGGGAGAGAAACAAUACUUUGUUCAUCUUCGAAUCUCUAUGAACUGGAAGACUAUCUAUGCUUCGUAAUAGGUCCUCAAUGUAUACUUGUUUGAAUGAAUCAAUAGCUAAAUUAAUGAAUGAACAAUCCCUAGAUCUAAGCAUGAUUUAGGGAAAUGAUGGGACAUAAUAAGGUCCCAUUCUUGAGGCCAUUUUGGCAAAGGCCUUGUAAGCAAGACUGAGGAGGUGGGGCUUUAUUGCUUGAUCUUGUUGCUCUAGGGAAUGGCUGAAGAUUUUGAAGGAGUGAGAGAAUGAUAUAGUGACGAAGCCUAUUGAGAAAGAUCAUUCUGAUGGUUAUGUAACAUCGAAGUCACUGUUGAUCUCGAAGUGUGACAAAGGAGGCUUCAGUGAACAAAGGGCUUUUUAUAUAAACACAGAUGUGGCUGCCUUAAAUCUAUUGUCUAUUAAUGGAAAUAAAUACACUUUAUUCGCCUUAUGUGGUUGGAGAGUGUUAGUGAAACUAGUAUGAACUAAAUGUGUGCAAUUAUUUAUCAUUUCAGAAAAAUAUGAAGUCCCAAGGAGCUCCUAGACCUUAAUGGCAAUCAAGACUGUCCUCAAACGAAGAGAGGGAAAUGCUCCUUUUCUCACAUUAAACAUCCCUCUGGGAACGAGAAUUCUUUGAUUACUGUGGUCCUUCAGGGUGCUGGACAUCAAGUUGAGUGAUGUAGU